GAUUAAGCCAUGCAAGUGAAAGUAUAUGCAUAUUUUAUAUGUAGAAACUGCGAACGGCUCAUUAAAACAGUUAUAAUCUACUUGACAUGUUUUCUAUAAGGAUAACUACGGAAAAGCUGUAGCUAAUACUUGCUUUAGCACUCUUGAUUAAGUUCUUGAGUGUGUACUUGUUAAGCCUUUUAAGAAAAAAGUUAUUAACUUAAGGAAUUAUAAUAAAGAAGUAACACGUAAAUGGAUUUUCCAUUUUUUAGUGUGUAUCAAUCGAGUUUCUGACCUAUUAGCUUUUGAUGUUAGGGUAUUGGCCUAACAUGGCUAUGACGGGUAACGGGGAAUUAGAGUUCGAUUCCGGAGAGGGAGCCUGAGAAAUAGCUACCACAUCUAAGGAAGGCAGCAGGCGCGUAAAUUACCCAAUUCUAAAGAAGAGAGGUAGUGACAAGAAAUAACAAUACAAGGCCAAUCUGGCUUUGUAAUUGGAAUGAUGGGAAUUUAAAACCUUCCCAAAACUCAAUUGGAGGGCAAGUCUGGUGCCAGCAGCCGCGGUAAUUCCAGCUCCAAUAGCGUAUAUUAAAAUUGUUGCAGUUAAAACGCUCGUAGUUGAAUUUCAAAGAAUCGAUAUUUUAAGUAACGCUUUGUAGAUUAAUCCACAUAACUGAUACUACGUAUCGACUUUGUGCGCAUUUUUCUACUUAUGUGUUCUUUUAAUUAAAAUGAUUCUUUUUAAGAUCUUUCUUUUUUGCUUCGGCAUUUUAGGAGAUCUUGUUACUUUGAGUAAAUUAGAGUGUUCAAAGCAAACAGAUUAUAGCAUCUUUAUGCGUUUGAAUACUACAGCAUGGAAUAACAAAAUUGAACAAGUCAGAAUUUUGUUCUUUUUUCUUAUUUUGGCUUAGUUACGAUUAAUAGGAGUAGCUUGGGGGCAUUUGUAUUCAGAUGUCAGAGGUGAAAUUCUUAGAUUUUCUGGAGACAAACAACUGCGAAAGCAUUUGCCUAAAAUACUUCCAUUAAUCAAGAACGAAAGUUAAGGGAGUGAAGACGAUCAGAUACCGUCGUAAUCUUAACCAUAAACUAUGCCGACUAGGCUUUGGAUGAAAGAUUUUAAAAUAAGAGUUUUUUCUCUGAGGAGUUAAGACUCUUAGAUUGCUUCCUUCAGUGCCUUAUGAGAAAUCAAAGUCUUUGGGUUCUGGGGCGAGUAUUCGCGCAAGCGAGAAAGUUAAAAGAAUUGACGGAAGGGCACCACCAGGCGUGGAGCUUGCGGCUUAAUUUGACUCAACACGGGAAAACUCACUAGUUUAAGACAAGAGUAGGAUUGACAGAUUAAUAGCUCUUUCUUGAUUUCUUGGAUGGUGAUGCAUGGCCGUUUUUAGUUCGUGAAUAUGAUUUGUCUGGUUAAUUCCGAUAACGAACGAGAUCUUAACCUGCUAAUUAGCGGCAAAUACGAUAUAUUCUUAUGUGGAAUUGAAUAUAGUUGAUUUGCUUAUUUUGAAGAAAAUAUUGGGAUACGUAAAUGUAUCCCUUUCCCUUUUCUACUUAAUUUGCUUAUCAUACUAUUUCUUUUUUGCGUAAGAAUGUAUUUGCUUGAUUGUAAAGCUUCUUAGAGGAACGAUGUGUGUCUAACACAAGGAAGUUUAAGGCAACAACAGG
rnacentral:rRNA from 1 species